UACGAAGGGUGCAAGCGUUACUCGGAAUUACUGGGCGUAAAGCGUGCGUAGGUGGUUUGUUAAGUCUGAUGUGAAAGCCCUGGGCUCAACCUGGGAAUUGCAUUGGAUACUGGCAGGCUAGAGUAUGGCAGGGGAGACUGGAAUUCCUGGUGUAGCGGUGAAAUGCGCAGAUAUCAGGAGGAACACCGGUGGCGAAGGCGGGUCUCUGGGCCGUAACUGACGCUGAGGCACGAAGGUCAGGGGAGCAAACGGG
rnacentral:rRNA from 1 species